UACGGAGGAUGCAAGCGUUAUCCGGAUUUAUUGGGUUUAAAGGGUGCGCAGGUUGUUUGAUAAGUCGGUGGUGAAAGUCUGUCGCUUAACGGUAGGAUUGCCAUUGAUACUGUUGGACUUGAAUAUGGAUGAGGUAGGCGGAAUGUGCAGUGUAGCGGUGAAAUGCAUAGAUAUUGCACAGAACACCGAUUGCGAAGGCAGCUUACUAAUCCAUCAUUGACGCUGAGGCACGAAAGCGUGGGGAUCAAA
rnacentral:rRNA from 1 species